GGAGAAAGGAUAAAUGAACCAUGUCAUGCCCACACAAUGGAAUACUCGACAGCAAUGAAGACGAACAACAGUGUCACGCAUCAACGCAGAUGUACCUCCCAACAAUACUGUGAGAGAAAAAGGCAAGUCACCAAAGAACACGUAUGUAUGAGGCCAUUCAAAUAGCUCUUCUGGAUUUCACUCCUGGGGAUGUCAAGGACCCACUAGAGUUUCCAAGCCAUGUUCACAUGUCACCUCCUUGACUAAAGGGACAUGACCAAUAAAUGCAAUGUGGGGUCCUGAACUGGAUCCUAGAGCAGGACAGAAAUAGCUAUAAAGGACAUUCUUGGGACAAUUGACGUUUAGAUAUGGAUUGUGGGGUUCGAUCAUAGUAUCAUAUCAAUGCAAAUUGUCCUAGCUCUGAUAAGCAUAUGUGUUUAUGUAAGAGAAUGUCCUUGUUUUUAGGGAACAAACACUGAAAUAUACAAUAGUAGAGAGGCAUCAUGUCUCCACCAUACUCUCAGAUGGUUCAGGAGAAAUAUGCGUGUGUCUCCGUACAUAUUAAUAUAGAGAGAAUGGUACAGCCAGUGGGACAAGUUGUAAGCAAUUGGUGAAUCUAGGUAAAGGGUAUAUGGGAAAUUGCAUCAAAAUUAAAAGUUAUGAACAUGGGGGAGAAAACCCAGUUCUUCUAUAAAAACAGCCUCCAGCCUCUCCCUCCAGCACAACCUGUCCCCACACGUGGGGCACCCGGCACCCAUGCUCUGGCUCUUGUCUCUCUGGGUCUUAGUCCCACUUAGCACCCCACACCCAAAGGUCAUGUUUUCACAGAUGUGUACCCUCAAGACUAAACACACACUUGAGGCAUUCAUGUGACUAUACAUAUUUAUGGAAAAAGAAAAUUCUUGGGCUCACAAAACUGAACGCUCCAGGGUGGACUGUCUCAGGUGGCCUUAAUCGGGGUGCUGACAACAUCCAGACGAGCACGCAGGCUUCUCUCCCUGCCACGGCGGUGCCAUUCUCCAACGGACUCUGCCGCCGUGGCUGCAAGAUGGUGGCAGCAGCUCCAACCCCUGCACCCUUUUGUGGCCAAGUCCAGUGGGAAGAAUGUGAGGUCUUCUUCCAGAAGCUUCUGCAGAUUCUCAUUAGCUUCAGCUGGGUCAUGUGUCUGUCAUCCCUGACCUGGCCUCUGGGGUCAGGAAGGCACCAUGGUCAGACUGGCCAGGCCUGAGCCCCAAGCCCCAAGUCCAACCUCUUCACAAAGCACAGCUGGCUGGGGCAGAGCGGUGCCCCCAGUGGAAAAUCAAGAUGCAGUUUCAGAAGGAUGGAAAUGGAUGCUGGGUGGCGAAACGGCAGAAACCCACCCCGGCCCACGCCCUUGCCUGUCCAAAAUCCAUGCACAUGCUUCUUCCCAUGCUCCCUCUGGGGGAGGUGUGCUAGGCAGCACAGAUGUAUGCACAGCUCCCCACAGAUGCCACCCUCAUCCUUGGAAACUGUCAAUGCCCAUGAAUUUGUUACCUCACGUAGCAAAAGAGACUUUGCAGAUGUAAUUAAGGCUGCUCGUCAGUUGACCUUAAAAUAGGGAGAGUGUCUUGGAUCAUCCACAUGGGCUCAGUGGGUCACACAAGCCCUUAAAAGCAGAGAACUUUCCAUGGCUGGUGGCAGAGGUAGAAAGGACAUUGGAAAGAGACAGCAUGGGGGAAAGGGAGAUUUAAAGCUUGGGAAGGAAGGAUGGAAAGCGCGACUGCUGCUUUGAAAACAAAGGAAGCCUCAGGCCACGUAGCAAAGAAAUGGAGACCCCAGGCCUGCAAUCAUAAGCGACUGAAUUCUGCUCACAACCCUAAUGAGCACCUCCGGGAAAGAGCCCAGCCUGCCAACACCUCGAUUUUGCCUUGUAAGCCCCUAAGCAGAAAAUACAGUUGAGGCACUCUCUGCCCAGACUUGCAGUGCACAGAAACUGUGAUGCUAAAUGGAUGUUGCUUGAAGCUGCUCAGUUGGUGGCACUUUGUUACAGCAGCAAUGGAAAAUGAAUACUGGAGGUAACACUGUCUCUCCCAGUGACAGGUCCGGCUCCAGGAGCUGGACCCCAGUGACCGUGUUACAGUCUAGGCUUAAGGCCCCCCUCACUCCCAACCUCACCUGUGCAGAGAGGGAAGGAAAAGUGCCAUGUCAACCCCCAGUAAGGGAAAGGAGGAUGGGAGACCCCUAGCCUGCAGCACAUCCAAAGCCCUGCUAGAAAAAUACUGAGAAAUGUUAGACAUUGAGCUACCACAGGACCCAGGAUUACAACUCCUGGGUAUCUACCCAAGGCAAAUGAAAACAUGUGUCCCCAGAAAAAUUUGCACACAAUGUUCAUAGCAGCAUUAUUUAUAAUAAUUGAGAAAUGGGAAUAGCCCAAAUGCCCAUCAGCUAAUGAAUAGAUAAACAAAAUAUGGCAUAGCUAUACAAUGGAAUAUUAUAUGGCCCUAAAAAGUAAUGAAGAAGCCAGACAUAAAAGGCUUUGUGUGAUUCCAUUUCCAGACAGAAAGCAGAUUAGUAGUUGCUGCAGGCUGGCGGGAGGGAGGAAUGGAAAGUGGCUGCUAACAGGAACACGGUUUAUUCUGGGGGCAAUGAAAGUGUUCUAAACUUAGAUGUGAUGAUGGAUGUACAACUGCGUGAAUAUACUAAAAAGCAUUGAAUGGCAUUGAAUGGUUCAUCUUAAAUGGGUGAAUUUUAUAGUGCGUGAAUUAUAUAGAUAAAGAUGUAAAAGAUUUGUUUAACAUCAAUAAAGAUGUAAAAAAAAAAA